rnacentral:rRNA from 2 species
UUCCGGUUGAUCCUGCCGGAGGCUACCGCUAUUGGAGUUCGAUUAAGCCAUGCGAGUCGCGAGUCUUAGGGACUCGGCGUACCGCUCAGUAACACGUGGGUAACCUGCCCUAUGCUGGGGGAUAACCUCGGGAAACUGAGAAUAAUACCCCAUAGUUCACCACGCCUGGAACGGUGGGUGGACCAAAGCUCCGGCGGCAUAGGAUGGGCCUGCGGCGUAUCAGGUUGUAGGGGGUGUAAUGUACCCUCUAGCCCUCUACGCGUACGGGUGUUGAGAGACAUCGCCCGGAGAUGGAUUCUGAGACACGAAUCCAGACCCUACGGGGUGCAGCAGGCGCGAAAACUUGGCAAUGCGAGAAAUCGUGACCAGGGAACUCCAAGUGCAUCGGGUAAGACCGAUGCUUUUCUUGACUCUUCAAAGGUCUUGGAAUAAGGGGUGGGUAAGGACGGUGCCAGCCGCCGCGGUAAUACCGGCGCCCCAAGUGGUAGUCGCUUUUAUUGGGCCUAAAACGUCCGUAGCCGGUCUGGUACAUUCGUGGGUAAAUCAACCAGCUCAACUGGUUGAAUUCUGCGAGCACGGCCAGACUUGGGACCGGGAGAGGUGUGGGGUACUCUCAGGGUAGGGGUAAAAUCCUGUCAUCCUGAGAGGACCACCUGUUGCGAAGGCGCCACACUAGAACGGAUCCGACGGUCAGGGACGAAGCCUAGGGGCACGAACCGGAUUAGAUACCCGGGUAGUCCUAGGUGUAAACGCUGUGGACUUGAUGUUGGGGGCGCUCCGAGCGCACUCAGUGUCGAAGCGAAGGUGAUAAGUCCACUGCCUGGGGAGUACGGUCGCAAGGCUGAAACUUAAAGGAAUUGGCGGGGGAGCACCGCAACCUGAGGAUUGUGCGGUUUAAUUGGAUUCAACGCCGG